GAAACGCGAUAGGUAAUGUGAAUUGCAGAAUUCCGUGAAUCAUCGAAUCUUUGAACGCACCUUGCGCUCUAUGGCAAUCCGUAGAGCAUGCCUGUUUGAGUGCCAUGAAAUCUCCCACCCCAAGCGGUUUUUGAAUGAAACGGCUUGGCGGAUGGGGUCUGGAUGGGUGCCUCUGCCUGUGCUAAACCUUAGCCCACAGGCUCGCCCGAAAUGCAUGAGCGCCUUGGGACACUUUGCAUCCGCUGAACUUAA
rnacentral:misc_RNA from 1 species